UACAGAGGUCUCAAGCGUUGUUCGGAUUCAUUGGGCGUAAAGGGUGCGUAGGCGGCGUGGUAAGUCGGAUGGGAAAUCUCGGAGCUUAACUCCGAAACUGCAUUCGAUACUGCCGUGCUUGAGGACUGGAGAGGAGACUGGAAUUUACGGUGUAGCGGUGAAAUGCGUAGAUAUCGUAAGGAAGACCAGUGGCGAAGGCGGGUCUCUGGACAGUUCCUGACGCUGAGGCACGAAGGCCAGGGGAGCAAACGGG
rnacentral:rRNA from 1 species